rnacentral:rRNA from 1 species
AGAAAAGCAGGGGAUCGCAAGACCUUGCGCUCUUGGAGCGGCCGAUGUCUGAUUAGCUAGUUGGUGAGGUAAAGGCUUACCAAGGCGACGAUCAGUAGCUGGUCUGAGAGGACGACCAGCCACACUGGGACUGAGACACGGCCCAGACUCCUACGGGAGGCAGCAGUGGGGAAUUUUGGACAAUGGGGGAAACCCUGAUCCAGCCAUGCCGCGUGAGUGAAGAAGGCCUUCGGGUUGUAAAGCUCUUUCAGCCGGAACGAAACGGUCACGGCUAAUACCUGUGAUCACUGACGGUACCGGAAGAAGAAGCACCGGCUAACUACGUGCCAGCAGCCGCGGUAAUACGUAGGGUGCAAGCGUUAAUCGGAAUUACUGGGCGUAAAGCGUGCGCAGGCGGUUUUGUAAGUCAGAUGUGAAAUCCCCGGGCUUAACCUGGGAACUGCGUUUGAAACUACAAGGCU